UACGUAGGGGGCAAGCGUUGUCCGGAUUCAUUGGGCGUAAAGAGCGUGUAGGCGGCCAGGUAGGUCGGUUGUGAAAACUGGAGGCUCAACCUUCAGAGGUCGACCGAAACCAUCUGGCUAGAGUCCGGGAGAGGAGAGUGGAAUUCCUGGUGUAGCAGUGAAAUGCGCAGAUAUCAGGAAGAACACCCGUGGCGAAAGCGGCUCUCUGGAACGGUACUGACGCUGAGACGCGAAAGCGUGGGGAGCGAACAGG
rnacentral:rRNA from 1 species